GGGUGAGCUCGGCGCUACCGCCUCCCUCACGUGAGAGCCGUUUCCUCGGGCGGCGGGAGGUGGUGGCUUAGUGCCUGUCUCCACCUCCUGCUACCGCCGCCCCUUUCCUCGGCCGAAAGCGCUUAGGCCGAGGCUGUCGUGCGAACGGCGGGGGCCGCCUGGGGUGCGCCGCAGGGGAAACGAAGGCGAGAUACGGUGUCGGUGAGGGUAAAUAGGUCCAGCCGAGUGCCGUUGCGAAAGCGGCGUGAGGAGGGUGUGUCUGGCCAAGUGCUUGGAAGAUAAACUGGAUUAUUUAGUUUCGUUUGUUUGCUUUCUAGCCAUGGCUAUUGGGCACGAAAAAGCUCCUUCUCCUUUGUCGUAUCUUGACUUCCGUACGUGCCUGCAGCACUAGGGCUGACAGGCUGUUGCUUCUCAGUUAGCAGCAGACAGAGGCUAACUUCCAAAGGAAACUAGGGCCAGGCUGUAGGGCGCUGAACCUCUAAGGGAUGACACCAUGCACGAGUCCUAAGCAGGAGCUUAGCAGAUCAGCUUUUGGAUACUUUUAGACAAAAGAAGUCCUCUGCACACUACGGAAUUGUCAGAUGUAAGUGGUUCCUAGAAAUCUGCUCUACACAGCAGCUGUCGGUUUCAGAGGACAGCGGAAGGCUCCACGAUCCAUGCUAGAGUGCGCAUAUAAGCUCUGACCCAGGGUGAAGCAAACUCCAGGAAUCAGUGGAUGGGCUUAUCAAAAAAUUAAAUAUUCAUGAUGUAGCGUUUGCGAUGAGCAGUAGCUCUCAAUUACCCUAAACUUCCUUCUCGGUGCAGGGAAAAAGUGGCAAAAGCAGGUUUGGAAACUAGAGCCUUUUUUUUCUUCUGCUCUCCUCCUUUCCCAGCAAAGUUCUGUAACAGAGCAGAAGAAUUCCGUCAGUACAUACCAAUGCCUUUUGUAAGAGGACUCAGAUAGGUUUGUGGGUCGCAUGCCUCAGUGGGAUAUCUACCUAAAGCAGUGAUUGAGUAGAGGCCUCCAAAGAAGUGGGUGGGAAAUUGAUUCUGGCCAUCAAAAUGAUAGUGAAGUCACAGAUGUGGAGAUAGUAGGGCUCACCGCAAGGAAAGGAGAGAGAAAGAGACAUAACAGCUGGAUAUCUAGUAUGGUCUUGGUAGAUCUGCCCCCAUUCAAACUAUGGUGUAACUACAGUAAUGGGAACGUAGCUACGUGAAAAACAACUGUCUUAGGAACGUCCUUCCCCUGUGUUGUUCCAAACUCCAGAAAAUGAGUGGAAUACUGCCUUUGUUAUUGACAGUAGAUUCACAGUGUUAUUAAUUUUACUGCAGAGGCAAGGAUAUUUUGGAGCACAUUUUAGUUUAAUUUCAUCAUGGUACAGGUAAUUAUCAAAACUAGUGAUACUAAGAAACCAGAAACAAUGAUAAAUUAUACUGACAAAUGUAAUUAUCAAAAAUACAUAAACAUAAUAAUUCUCUCUUCAAAACAUGCUGAAUAGUGUCCAUAGAAUCAUGCAUGAGCAUUGAAAAGAAAAUCAGAAGUAACUAACUGGUGAUUUUUGAGUACCACCAGAGGUGCUUAAGAAUUCCACUGGAAGAAACAAAGAUACUCAUGUACAAUGACGUACGUAAAAAUCUUGUCACAGAUGGUAGAGUGGUGAGAAAUUAGGAUUGCGGUGUUUAAUUCUGAUUCAAUUUAAUUCUGAUACAAUUUCUAUGUUCAGGAAAGGUCAAGAGCCAAAAAAUAAGAAACUUUGGAACGAACAACUUUUGAAUGAACAGAGGAACCAAUUUCUUUUAAAGCUCCCUUCUGUUGUAAACAUGGAGAUCCACAUGAUGAAGUUAUUUCACAUCAGAACAUCAUAUAAAGCAGUGGGAGUUGAAGAGUUGAUGGUCUGUGGACUGCCAUUUUUUGGAUGUUUGGUUUUUGGAGGCAAGGGGAGAAGCAGCAUUUCCCCAGCAUACUUUGCACCCAAGGAAGAAAGGUGGAGGUCCUGGCAGGAAGGAGGUGAUCCUUCUGGACUUCCUGGGACCUGGACAAACCAUCAGCUCUGACCACUACAUCGCAAUGCAGAUGAAGCUGAAAGCUUGAAUUUCCAGAAUCAGGCUCAUGAAAAAAGAGACAUUUUCUCUGUCAACAUGGUAAUGCCAGGUACCAUACCAGUUUGAAGACCAUGGUGCACAUUGUCAAUCUUGCCUGGGCUGUUCUACAAAACCCACUGUAUAUUCUGGAUUUAUUCCCUUCUGGCUUCCUCCUGUUCAGACCAAAGAAAGGUGGACUAUGUGGGCAACAUUUUUCUAGCAGCAACAUCAUAAGAUCUGUGAAACAGUGGGUCAUCUCCACUGGUCUGUUUUUUUUAUGAGCAUGGAAUGCAGGCUCUCAUUCA